UGGGGAAUAUUGCACAAUGGGCGAAAGCCUGAUGCAGCAACGCCGCGUGAGGGACGACGGCCUUCGGGUUGUAAACCUCUUUUAGCAAGGAAGAAGCGAAAGUGACGGUACUUGCAGAAAAAGCGCCGGCUAACUACGUGCCAGCAGCCGCGGUAAUACGUAGGGCGCAAGCGUUAUCCGGAAUUAUUGGGCGUAAAGAGCUCGUAGGCGGUUUGUCGCGUCUGCUGUGAAAACCCGAGGCUCAACCUCGGGCCUGCAGUGGGUACGGGCAGACUAGAGUGCGGUAGGGGGAGAUUGGAACUCCUGGGUGUAGCGNCGGAAUGCGCAGAUAUCAGGAAGAACACCGAUGGCGAAGGCAGAUCUCUGGGCCGUAACUGACGCUGAGGAGCGAAAGGGUGGGGAGCAAACAGGCUUUGAGAUACCCUGGUAGUCCACCCCCGUAAACGUUGGGAACUAGUUGUGGGGGUCCAUUCCACGGAUUCCGUGACGCAGCUAACGCAUUAAGUUCCCGCUGGGGAGUNCGGCCGCAAGGCUAAAACUUGAAAGGAAUUGACGGGGUCAUAGCUGUUUCC
rnacentral:rRNA from 1 species